rnacentral:rRNA from 1 species
UACGUAGGUGGCGAGCGUUGUCCGGAUUUACUGGGCGUAAAGAGCUCGUAGGCGGUUCGGCAAGUCGACGGUGAAAUCUCCACGCUCAACGUGGAGGGGUCCGUCGAUACUGCUGUGACUCGAGUCCGGUAGGGGAGUGUGGAAUUCCGGGUGUAGUGGUGAAAUGCGUAGAGAUCCGGAGGAACACCAGUGGCGAAGGCGACACGCUGGGCCGUACCUGACACUGAUGCGCGACAGCAUGGGGAGCAAACAGG